AACGAACGCUGGCGGCAUGCCUAACACAUGCAAGUCGAACGAGACCUUCGGGUCUAGUGGCGCACGGGUGCGUAACGCGUGGGAAUCUGCCCUUUGCUUCGGAAUAACACAGAGAAAUUUGUGCUAAUACCGGAUAAUGUCGCAAGACCAAAGAUUUAUCGGCAAAGGAUGAGCCCGCGUAAGAUUAGCUAGUUGGUGGGGUAAUGGCCUACCAAGGCGACGAUCUUUAGCUGGUCUGAGAGGAUGAUCAGCCACACUGGGACUGAGACACGGCACAGCCUCCUACGGGAGGCAGCAGUGGGGAAUAUUGGACAAUGGGCGGAAGCCUGAUCCAGCAAUGCCGCGUGAGUGAUGAAGGCCUUAGGGUUGUAAAGCUCUUUUACCCGGGAUGAUAAUGACAGUACCGGGAGAAUAAGCUCCGGCUAACUUCGUGCCAGCCGCCGCCGUAAAAC
rnacentral:rRNA from 1 species